ensembl:lncRNA
CAGAGGAAGAAAUUAUAAAGAAGCCAUUAGAGUGAAGCAAAACAAAGGAGGGAUUGUAGUGCGACUGAGUGAGUCCACUGACUGAGAGGAGGAGAAACCUUUUCCUAGCUGAUCUGCCAGCACACUGGAGGUGCUGAGUGCAAGUGAAGAGCUUGUGGCUCGGAGCGAAUGAUCAAAAAGAAGCCCCGGCUUUCUGAGAAAAUUAUACAUGGCUGUGUGCAUGCCCCCUGCUGAGACUCACUCUCGCCUCGAGCUCUUUCUCCCCCCGCUGUCUGCAGAAGAGGCUGUUAGUGCUGUGAUGUAUGAGGGCAGCUGACGCCCACCUGCUUCCCAGCAGUCAGUCCGGAGGGUGUUUCUGAGCUCCAGCAUCAGCUAUUGGCUAUUCAUUCAGCUCUAUGGAUGAAUCAAUACCAACGGUCACACCUGUCGCAGCUCCUGCUAAACUCUGACCACAGACACAGCAAUAAACUAUUAGUAAAAAUGACUAAUGAAGACAUAAUUAUGUUUCUUUAGCACGGCCAAUUGUCUCAUGAUUGGUUACCCUUUUACAUUGGCAUGAUAUCCCUCUAAAGCUCGAUUAAGUUGUAUUGCAUGGAGGAAGGACAGCAGGCUUGUUAGGAAUGAUUUACAGCCUCACUAAGAGCUUUUAUCGUGGUUAAUUUGAAGCAGGAAAAAUUCAUAACUGGAGGAAAUUGGCUUAAUAAUUGAGAGGCACUAACAAGGGAUUCUCCAAUAAUUGCUCCACUGUCUUCAGCUCAGUUACUGAGCAUCAGUCACCGGUAGAAUGAUGGCUGGCGACAAACUUCUCAUUGGGAAUAACUGAUGAGGAGUCAGACAGCUUUAAGCAUGAGGAAAAUAAGUUUGCAUUUCAUGUUUUAUCUGAAAAGGCACCUGGGUCAAAAAUAGUACGUUCAGCAUGCAGGGAACAAAAAUCCGAACACAGAUUUGGAUGUUUUGGGAGUGAUUCAGAACUUUUUUCUGUGCUGGCAAACUAGCUAACCUCUCAAAUUCAACUGUCCCUUUUAUUUUGAAAUAUUGUGAUAGUGAAUAUAUUUGAAUAUAUCUGGACUUACUGUUUUUUUGGAGGGUGUUUGUUUUUUGUGUUUGUUGAACUUUUCAAUUCUUGUUUUGCUUUCAGUUUCUAUUGUGACUUUUAUUUUUGCCGAUGUUAUCACUGAAUCUUUGAUUCCUGUUUUUUGUCACGUUUUUCCUCACCUGUUCCUUACUAUCUUCCAUUCCUUAUAUCCAAUUCAUAUUAACGGUUACAUUUCCUGUGCAUCUUGUUAUAUGUUAAUAUUUAUGUCUGUAUUAGUUUCCAGUUGUAGUUUCUUCCUGUUUUGGUUUUGUAACAACUUUCUUUUCAUCCCCCAUCUCUCCUAUCCCCAUUUAUCUACAUUUAUUGUGUAUAGAUAGUCCUGCACCUGUCUUGAUAGCUUUGUAUCCAAUGUUUCUUUGCUGUUCCUUGUGUGUAACCUACUGUGAGCUUUAGUUCACCUUCUGAUUUGGUUUUUUUUUUUUGUUUGUUUUGUUUUGUUUUGUUUUUAACUUGAGUUUGUUUCCUUAAGUGUUAAUCUAUUGGUUUUAGUCCUGUGUUUGUCCCUGUCUGUUCCUCCCUCUCUCUUAUUUCAAUAUUAACAGCUGGUGGUUUUCCCAUGUUCCCAGAUUUGAUGUUUAGUUAUGAGUUAGCAUUUAUAUCUACAUUAGUUACAGUUACAUUAGUACUUUUAUUUAUUUCUUAUUUUGUUUUGCACCAUGUUUCCUGUCAUAUCCUCCACCCCUCCUAUUCCAAAUCCCCUUUUAGCCCUAAGUGUAUAACUAGUCCAGUCUUUUGCCUAUAUAACCUCGUCCCUUAUAUUCCUUCAUUGUUUCUCAGUGAUCUUCAGUUCUCCUUCUGAUUUUUGGACUUAAGUGAGUUUUUGGAGUUGCCAGCUAUUUAUUAAAGCUUAUUUUCUAUUAAAUCUUUUUGCUAUAACUCCACACAUCACACAUCAUUGUCUCACCAUCUAAGCUUAUAAAAAUGGAUCAGUGAGAAAUUGUUCUCGACUUCAUCCAAUAGCAGAAGACAGAAACUGUUUUCAGUUGCUCCCUUAUUCACAAGGGGUCACUGUAGCAGAUAGCUUCACAUGUUUGAUUUGGCAGAUCAUCUAUGCUGGAUGCCCUUUCUGAUGCAGCCCUGUCUCCAUAAUAAUAAUAAAUAAAUAAAUUCAGAGUGGUGUAUAAACAGUAAAAAG